AAAUGUGAGGGUGAUCUGGCUGCGACAUCUGUCACCCCAUUGAUCGCCAGGGUUGAUUCAGCUGAUCUGGCUGGCUAGGCGGGUGUCCCCUUCCUCCCUCACCGCUCCAUGUGUGUCCCUCCUGAAGCUGCGCGCUCGGUGGAAGAGGACGACCAUCCCAGAUACAAGGAGUGUACCGUUCUUCGGUCAAGGGUAUACGAUAGCUGCUCUCCCCUGCUAGAACCUCCAAACAAGCACCAUGCCCUCAUUCAGCUGCCUGGAGUCGUUGGAUCACCCGCCCACCCUCCCUUUAGGUCAUAUUUAUGCUUUUGACCUGCUAU